UACGAAGGGGGCUAGCGUUGCUCGGAAUCACUGGGCGUAAAGCGCACGUAGGCGGAUCUUUAAGUCAGGGGUGAAAUCCCGGGGCUCAACCCCGGAACUGCCCUUGAAACUGCUAGGCUAGAAUCUUGGAGAGGCGAGUGGAAUUCCGAGUGUAGAGGUGAAAUUCGUAGAUAUUCGGAAGAACACCAGUGGCGAAGGCGACUCGCUGGACAAGUAUUGACGCUGAGGUGCGAAAGCGUGGGGAGCAAACAGG
rnacentral:rRNA from 1 species